rnacentral:rRNA from 1 species
CCUGAACGCUGGCGGCGUGGCUAAGACAUGCAAGUCGAACGGGUGUAGCAAUACACCAGUGGCGGACGGGUGAGUAAUGUAUCGCUAACGUGCCCUGGAAUCUGAGAUAGCCAAUCGAAAGGUUGGGUAAUACCAGAUGAAAUAUCCUUAUCGCAUGAUGAGGAUCUCAAAGGAGCAAUCCGGUCUGGGGAGCGGGCGAUAUCGUAUCAGCUAGUUGGUGAGGUAACGGCUCACCAAGGCGACGACGCGUAGCCGGGCUGGAGGGGUCGGCCGGCCACAUUGGGACUGAGACACUGCCCAGACUCCUACGGGGGGCUGCAGUAACGAAUCUUCCGCAAUGCACGAAAGUGUGACGGAGCGACGCCG